UACGUAGGGGGCAAGCGUUGUCCGGAUUUAUUGGGCGUAAAGAGCGUGUAGGCGGCCAAGCAGGUCAGCUGUGAAAACUCGAGGCUCAACCUCGAGACGUCGGUUGAAACCGCUUGGCUAGAGUUCGGAAGAGGAGAGUGGAAUUCCUGGUGUAGCGGUGAAAUGCGCAGAUAUCAGGAAGAACACCCGUGGCUAAGGCGGCUCUCUAGUACGGUACUGACGCUGAGACGCGAAAGCGUGGGGAGCAAACAGG
rnacentral:rRNA from 1 species